CGAACCCGUAUCCCACAAAUUUCUUGAAUCUUACUUGUCGAGACAGCUUGGAUAGAUGUCAUUAUGAAUUGUGGGGUGGGGAGUUGUGGGGGAGGUGGGGAUGAGGCGGGUUUUUUGGAUGGGAGUGGAGGUAAAGAGAGUGGAGGAGAGGGAGAAGGUGGGUCAGAGAUGGGGGGGGGUUGGGUUGCGGGGAAGGUGAAGGAUUUCUGGGAGUGUAUUAUCAUUAUUUUUUUAAGGGUAAAUUAUUAUAAUAUUUUAAAUGUGGUAGCCAUGUCAGCUCUUAACGAACUAAUGGAUGAAAAAUGUAACAGGUGUAUUAUAUUGAAAUAAAAUAGAACUUGAAGUAUGAAAGUAAAAUUUUUUAAAGAUAUUGUAUGAGGUUGCAAUAAACUUCAAACCUAAGGUGGUAAAGUGUAAUUUACCCUUUUUAAAGGUUGAGACCAAUUUAAGAUUACUCUUAAAGAUUAAAUGACUCCAAAAAUUAAAUAAAAUUACAUUAGGAAGGACAAAACUGUAAAGUAGCCGCGAUUGGGAAGUAGAUUGGCGCUUAUAUUGCGGGUUUGAAAAUCAAAUUAGAUGUUGCUGUUGCAAAAGCAAAACAAAUAGCGCACUUGGAAAUCUCCUUUUCUCAUUCUUAAUUCGCUUUCCUGUUAUCAAAUCAGAUUAAUCGCACUCUUGUCUUUUUCUUAGCCAUUUAUCCAGUUAGGGUGCGUUUGUUGUACCGGACUAUCUCGGACUGAACUAGCUUUAGGGACUAACCUGGAUUGGCCUAGACUAGAUUAAGCUAGAUUAACUUAGUGAAGCGUUUGGUGCAGUGUUUGACUAAAAAGCUAGAUAAUAACAAAUUAUAAUAUUAUAUUAUUUAAUUCAUAUUUAUUAAUAUUUUAUAUUAUUUAAUACAUAUUUAGUAAUAUUUUAUUACUACUCCCGUCUGGUUUUUUCAUUCUAGAAACCGCCAAUCUCUAUUCUCAAUUCUUUUCCGCUAAUCCCCCAUUUUCUUCCUUAUUUUGCUCCGUCCAUCUCCCUCUGUUUUUUCCAAAUUUUUAUU
rnacentral:lncRNA from 1 species